UGGGGAAUAUUGCACAAUGGAGGGAACUCUGAUGCAGCGACGCCGCGUGAGUGAUGAAGGAAUUCGUUUCGUAAAACUCUGUUCUAUGGGAAGAAAAGGACUGUACCAUAGGAGAAAGCUCCGGCUAAAUACGUGCCAGCAGCCGCGGUAAUACGUAUGGAGCGAGCGUUGUCCGGAAUUAUUGGGCGUAAAGGGUGCGCAGGCGGCUUUACAAGUUGGAUGUGAAAUAUUGUGGCUCAACCACGAACGUGCAUCCAAAACUGCAAAGCUUGAGUUAAGGAGAGGUAAGUGGAAUUCCUGGUGUAGCGGUGGAAUGCGUAGAUAUCAGGAGGAAUACCGGUGGCGAAGGCGACUUACUGGACUUAAACUGACGCUCAGGCACGAAAGCGUGGGGAGCAAACAGG
rnacentral:rRNA from 1 species